rnacentral:rRNA from 1 species
UUUCCGGUUGAUCCCGCCAGACCUGACUGCUAUCGGAUUGAUACUAAGCCAUGCGAGUCGUUGUAGCAAUACAAGGCAUACGGCUCAGUAACGCGUAGUCAACCUAACCUAUGGACGGGAAUAACCUCGGGAAACUGAGAAUAAUGCCCGAUAGAACAUUAUGCCUGGAAUGGUUUAUGUUCCAAAUGAUUUAUCGCCAUAGGAUGGGACUGCGGCCUAUCAGUUUGUUGGUGAGGUAAUGGCCCACCAAGACUAUUACAGGUACGGGCUCUGAGAGGAGUAGCCCGGAGAUGGGUACUGAGACACGGACCCAGGCCCUAUGGGGCGCAGCAGGCGAGAAAACUUUGCAAUGUGCGAAAGCACGACAAGGUUAAUCCGAGUGAUUUCUGCUAAAGAGAUCUUUUGUUAGUCCUAGAAACACUAACGAAUAAGGGGUGGGCAAGUUCUGGUGUCAGCCGCCGCGGUAAAACCAGCACCUCAAGUGGUCAGGAUGAUUAUUGGGCCUAAAGCAUCCGUAGCCGGCUCUGUAGGUUUUCGGUUAAAUCUGUACGCUCAACGUACAGGCUGCCGGGAAUACUGCAGAACUAGGGAGUGGGAGAGGUAGACGGUACUCGGUAGGAAGUGGUAAAAUGCUUUGAUCUAUCGAUGACCACCUGUGGCGAAGGCGGUCUACCAGAACACGUCCGACGGUGAGGGAUGAAAGCUGGGGGAGCAAACCGGAUUAGAUACCCGGGUAGUCCCAGCUGUAAACUAUGCAAACUCAGUGAUGCAUUGGCUUGUGGCCAAUGCAGUGCUGCAGGGAAGCCGCUAAGUUUGCCGCCUGGGAAGUACGUACGCAAGUAUGAAACUUAAAGGAAUUGGCGGGGGAGCACCACAAGGGGUGAAGCCUGCGGUUCAAUUGGAUUCAACGCCGGA